rnacentral:rRNA from 1 species
CCUACGGGGUGCUGCAGUGGGGAAUAUUGGGCAAUGGGCGCAAGCCUGACCCAGCAACGCCGCGUGAAGGAAGAAGGCUCUCGGGUUGUAAACCUCCUUUUAGAGGGAAGAGUAGAAGACGGUACCUCUUGAAUAAGCCACGGCUAACUACGUGCCAGCAGCCGCGGUAAUACGUAGGUGGCAAGCGUUGUCCGGAUUUACUGGGUGUAAAGGGCGUGUAGCCGGGCCGGGAAGUCAGAUGUGAAAUCCCAAGGCUCAACCUUGGAACUGCAUUUGAAACUGUUGGUCUUGAGUUUCGCAGAGGCAGGCGGAAUUCCUGGUGUAGCGGUGAAAUGCGUAGAGAUUA